rnacentral:rRNA from 1 species
UACGAAGGGGGCUAGCGUUGCUCGGAAUUACUGGGCGUAAAGCGCACGUAGGCGGAUUGUUAAGUCGGGGGUGAAAUCCUGGAGCUCAACUCCAGAACUGCCUUCGAUACUGGCGAUCUCGAGUUCGGGAGAGGUGAGUGGAACUGCGAGUGUAGAGGUGAAAUGCGCAGAUAUCAGGAGGAACACCGGUGGCGAAGGCGGGUCUCUGGGCCGAUAUUGACGCUGAGGAGCGAAAGCGUGGGGAGCGAACAGG